UACAGAGGAUGCAAGCGUUAUCCGGAAUGGUUGGGCGUAAAGCGUCUGUAGGUGGCUUUUUAAGUCCGCCGUCAAAUCCCAGGGCUCAACUCUGGACAGGCGGUGGAAACUACCAAGCUGGAGUACGGUAGGGGCAGAGGGAAUUUCCGGUGGAGCGGUGAAAUGCGUAGAGAUCCGGAGGAACACCAAAGGCGAAGGCAGUGUCCUGGGGAGUACCUGACGCUCAGGUGCGAAAGCCAGGGGAGCGAACGGG
rnacentral:rRNA from 1 species